rnacentral:rRNA from 1 species
GGUUAAGCGACUAAGCGUACACGGUGGAUGCCCUGGCAGUCAGAGGCGAUGAAGGACGUGCUAAUCUGCGAUAAGCGUCGGUAAGGUGAUAUGAACCGUUAUAACCGGCGAUUUCCGAAUGGGGAAACCCAGUGUGAUUCGUCACACUAUCAUUAACUGAAUCCAUAGGUUAAUGAGGCGAACCGGGGGAACUGAAACAUCUAAGUACCCCGAGGAAAAGAAAUCAACCGAGAUUCCCCCAGUAGCGGCGAGCGAACGGGGAGCAGCCCAGAGCCUGAAUCAGUGUGUGUGUUAGUGGAAGCGUCUGGAAAGGCGUGCGAUACAGGGUGACAGCCCCGUACACAAAAAUGCACAUGCUGUGAGCUCGAUGAGUAGGGCGGGACACGUGGUAUCCUGUCUGAAUAUGGGGGGACCAUCCUCCAAGGCUAAAUACUCCUGACUGACCGAUAGUGAACCAGUACCGUGAGGGAAAGGCGAAAAGAACCCCGGCGAGGGGAGUGAAAAAGAACCUGAAACCGUGUACGUACAAGCAGUGGGAGCACGCUUAGGCGUGUGACUGCGUACCUUUUGUAUAAUGGGUCAGCGACUUAUAUUCUGUAGCAAGGUUAACCGAAUAGGGGAGCCGAAGGGAAACCGAGUCUUAACUGGGCGUUAAGUUGCAGGGUAUAGACCCGAAACCCGGUGAUCUAGCCAUGGGCAGGUUGAAGGUUGGGUAACACUAACUGGAGGACCGAACCGACUAAUGUUGAAAAAUUAGCGGAUGACUUGUGGCUGGGGGUGAAAGGCCAAUCAAACCGGGAGAUAGCUGGUUCUCCCCGAAAGCUAUUUAGGUAGCGCCUCGUGAAUUCAUCUCCGGGGGUAGAGCACUGUUUCGGCAAGGGGGUCAUCCCGACUUACCAACCCGAUGCAAACUGCGAAUACCGGAGAAUGUUAUCACGGGAGACACACGGCGGGUGCUAACGUCCGUCGUGAAGAGGGAAACAACCCAGACCGCCAGCUAAGGUCCCAAAGUCAUGGUUAAGUGGGAAACGAUGUGGGAAGGCCCAGACAGCCAGGAUGUUGGCUUAGAAGCAGCCAUCAUUUAAAGAAAGCGUAAUAGCUCACUGGUCGAGUCGGCCUGCGCGGAAGAUGUAACGGGGCUAAACCAUGCACCGAAGCUGCGGCAGCGACGCU